UACGUAGGGUGCGAGCGUUGUCCGGAAUCAUUGGGCGUAAAGAGCUCGUAGGCGGCCUGUCGCGUCUGCUGUGAAAACUCGGGGCUUAACCCCGGGCCUGCAGUGGGUACGGGCAGACUAGAGUGCGGUAGGGGAGACUGGAAUUCCUGGUGUAGCGGUGAAAUGCGCAGAUAUCAGGAGGAACACCGGUGGCGAAGGCGGGUCUCUGGGCCGUAACUGACGCUGAGGAGCGAAAGCGUGGGGAGCGAACAGG
rnacentral:rRNA from 1 species